GAUUGGGACGAAGUCGUAACAAGGUAGCCGUACCGGAAGGUGCGGCUGGAUCACCUCCUUUCUAAGGAGCACCACGAGAACCUGGCCCGCCCACAUCGUGUGGGAGUUCGGUGACCUUGGUCGAUUCGUUGGAUGGCCUUCGCCUGUAGUGGGUGGGGGUCUGGUGCAACAACAAACAAACUCUAUGACCGCCAGACACACUAUUGGGCUUUGAGACAACAGGCCCGCGGUCUUGAUCCUCUGUGUGAGGGUUUUGUGCCGGCUCACACCGUUGGGUGGGAGUUCUUGUUGUUGCCCUGCUUUGGUGGUGGGGUGUGGUGUUUGAUUUGUGGAUAGUGGUUGCGAGCAUCUAGCACGCAAGGAGACCUUGACUGGGGGCGCUGGCUUUGGCUGGUGUUGUUGGUUGGGGUGUUGUUGUGUGUGUUUGAUGUGCAAUUUCUUUUUUCUUUUUCUGGUUUUUUGUGUUGUAAGUGUUUAAGGGCGCAUGGUGGAUGCCUUGGCAUUAGGAGCCGAUGAAGGACGUGGGAGGCU
rnacentral:misc_RNA from 1 species